rnacentral:rRNA from 1 species
CCUACGGGAGGCAGCAGUGGGGAAUAUUGCACAAUGGGGGAAACCCUGAUGCAGCGACGCCGCGUGAGUGAAGAAGUAAUUCGUUAUGUAAAGCUCUAUCAGCAGGGAAGAAAAUGACGGUACCUGAGUAAGAAGCCCCGGCUAACUACGUGCCAGCAGCCGCGGUAAUACGUAGGGGGCAAGCGUUAUCCGGAUUUACUGGGUGGAAAGGGAGCGUAGCCGGCAGUGCAAGUCUGGAGUGAAAGGCGGGGGCUCAACCCCCGGACUGCUCUGGAAACUGUACGGCUGGAGUGCAGGAGAGGUAAGUGGACUUCCUAGUGUAGCGGUGAAAUGCGUAGAUAUUAGGAGGAACACCAGUGGCGAAGGCGGCUUACUGGACUGUAACUGACGUUGAGGCUCGAACGCGUGGGGAGCAAACAGGAUUAGAUACCCCGGUAGUC